CGGCUCAUUAUAACAGUUAUUGNAUUAUUGAGAUUACUUUAUAGGUGGAUACCCGUGGUAAUUCUAGAGCUAAUACAUGUCACUAAAAAUAUAUUCUUUUAUAUAUUGAGCAUUUAUUUGUCAUCAAACCAAAAUGCUUUUGCAUUGUGGAUGAUUCAUAGUAAUGUUUGGAGAACGCUUUAAAUAGUCGACAUAUCAUUCAAGUUUCUGACCUAUCAGUUAGUCAGUAGUGUAUUGGACUACUGAGGCGUUGACGGGUAACAGAGAAUUAGGGUUCUGUUCCGGAGAGGGAGCCUGAGAAACAGCUACUACAUCUAAGGAAGGCAGCAGGCGCGUAAAUUACCCAAUUCUGAUACAGAGAGGUAGUGACAAGAAAUCACAAUAUUUUGCCUUAGGGUUAAGUAAUUGUAUUGAGAACAG
rnacentral:rRNA from 1 species